rnacentral:lncRNA from 1 species
GAUCUUGAAGAAGGAAUGAUCACUCUUGGAGAGGAAGCUGGUCUCAGAAACACCUUCUGUGACUGAGUGCCCAUUGCUCAGCCAGGUGAUGUUGACCACAGGAGGAAAGAUGUUGUCCACAAGACAGAUGAGGGUGUUGGGCUGACCCAGCGUCACAGGAAACUUGGAAAACACUGUGACCUCAGGAACCUCUGUGGUGAGGAAACAGCACUGAUGUGAAGUGUGAAUAGCUCUGC